rnacentral:lncRNA from 1 species
UUUCAGACAAAGGUCUACGAGGAGCUGUGCACGGUGCUGGAGGGACGUUACCCCAAAUACAGUGACAGACAGAGGCUCCCCAUCCUUUGCUCGCUCAUACAUGAAGUUCUCAGGCUCAGGCCCGUCGCCCCACUGGCGGUGCCGCACAAAGCCAUCAGAGACAGCAGGUCAGAAGGACUAAGGCCCACAGAAUGUGUUAAACUAUUAAAAAUAGCUUCUCCUGUUAACAUUGUUUUGACUUUGAUGUUCAGUAUUGCAGGUUACUUCAUCCCCAGAAACACAAUCAUCAUCCCUAAUCUGUUUGGAGCUCACCACGAUCCCGAAGUUUGGUCGGACCCAUAUAGCUUCAAACCUGGUGCGACUCUCUUCAGGGGUCUGUUCUUCAUACCUGUUGAAGUAUUUCUUUAAACCCACUCUGUCUGUUACAGAGCGCUUUCUGGAGGGAGGAGGGGGCUCCACCCGCGCCCUGAUCCCCUUCGGAGGCGGAGCGCGACUCUGUCUGGGGGAGACUGUGGCUAAGAUGGAGCUCUUUCUCUUCACUGCAUACCUGCUGAGAGAUUUUUGCUUUGUCCUUCCCGACAGUGAAGCACCUCUGCCCGACCUGAGGGGGGUGGCUAGCGUCGUGCUUAAAAUCAAGUCCUUUACAGUCAUAGCACGUCCCCGGACUGGGCCUUAAUCUUGUUGGACAUUAUGUGUGCAGAUAAACAAGGUUACAAUGUAAAUAACAUUGGAAAUAAAAAAAGUAUACAUCUUAUCCAAAUCUCGAAUGGUUUCUUUGCAGACGCGCAUGCGUUUUGUGUGGCUAAAGUGUUUUUCAAAUGAUUGAAAUGCAAAAAUUGCAGUGUACCACUCGUGCACUGAGAAAAAGAGUUGCAUCACUCUCAUUUCCUGAAAAAGUGUUUUGCAAAUGCUGCUGCAGUGGGCUUGGAAGAGGAUGUAGCAAUCAAUGCCAAAAUGAAGAUGGCUUCAGGGAGGAGGACGACGACUUCUCUGUCUUUACCGCUACUCUGUCUUCUUUCUUUGACACGGGCAGGAUUACAAAAAUCAGAUCAGGUUGUGUUAAGGGGAGAUGACGUGACCUUGCCGUGCGGAGUUCCAACCGUUAACACCUGCUCCUCUGUCAGCUGGAACGUGAUUGGGGAGUUUGGGUCCGUAUCUGCAGUGGUGAACGCUGGAACGGUGAUGGAUCCAUACAUGCCCAGAUUUAGACUCCUAAAGGACUGCUCCCUGAAGAUUAAUGAUCUGAUUUUGACCGAUGCACGCACAUAUUUAUGCCACAGCAACGGAAUUCAUUCAAAUGUUUCGCUUUAUAUUAUUGAAAUUACAGAGAGCUCCCGUCCAGCAGAUGGCACCAUAGAGCUUCAAUGUUUCCUAAACACCUAUCAGGGCUACAGACGCUGUAUUAACAGAGGUUUUCAUGUGGAGUGGAGAUCUGAACAUGAUACGCUGUCAAGCGGGAAAAGAUUUCACAUAGAAAAUCCCUCUGAGUGCUUCUCAAAACUGCUCAUCAACACUAAACCGACUGACCAUCGCAGAAAAUGGAAAUGCUGCAUGUACCAGAACGGGACGCUGAAAGCCUCCAUCACUCAUACAACAACAGUGAGAGAUGGUAUUGAGAAAGUGUUUGCCUCAGUGGGUGAGUCAGUGUCACUCUCCUGUCACAACACUUCCUCUCUUGGCAUGGGUGGGAGCGUGGAGUGGGACCUGGGCGGGGAGGCGCUGAGCAGAGGCUCCUCGUCCCUGAUCAUUGCAAAGGUCGGCACCGUCCAUGCUGGGGAGUACCGGUGUCUCGACUCCGCUGAUCGGCAGAGGGUCUUUAACAGAAUUAGCCUGCAAACCCUGGAGGUUAGAGCCGAGUCAGGGGGGGGGCACCUCGCCUUGACCUGCGUGCUCACCUGUGCCGGAGAGUGCAAGGGAGACUCCAGUUUGGCCUGGAGGGGAGGCGGGGCAGACGGCUGGCAGAACGCAUCAGUGAGUGUUAACAGGACCCUGAGGAACCGACUGGUUCUGCCCGUUUCAUCGGCAGCAGCGGAUCAUCUAACCUGCCUGGUGCUCAGCGAUGGCGUCGUGAUGGCCUCGACGAAGUGGCGCGCCAUUAACUAAUCA